GGCUGAGGCAGGAGAAUCGCUUGAACCUGGGAGGUGGAGGUUGCAGUGAGCCGAGAGCACACCACUGCAUUCCAGCCUGAGACUCUGUCUCAAAAAAAAAAAAAAAAAAAGACCCUCCCGCAAGACUGGUUCAUUCACUCCCAUUUAAUAGGUGCCUAUAUGGUGCCAUGCCAGGCACUGAACAUACAGUGGUGAGCAAGACAGACACCAUCUCUGCUCCCUCAGGGCUUACGGUUAACAGUUAAACAAGUAAUCACAACGCAUCAGCCUGGUCAGGCUUCAUAUCCAACAUUACAGCCUGGUUUCUCCACCACUCAAGGCCAUUUCCCCCUUAUCAAAAACUCUUAUAAAUAUCAGUAUAAAAUUAUGACUCAUUUUUUUCUCAUUUUAAUCAUCAUACAUAUUAUUGAAAAUUCAGAAAUAUGCUAAAAUCACAGAAGAAAAGUAAUGCAGUAAAAGAACAUGAUGCUUUUUAAUGCAUAUUUUCAGACUGGUCUCCUAGAAGUUUGUAUCAAUUUAUUACAUCACUAUCAAGG
rnacentral:lncRNA from 1 species